rnacentral:rRNA from 1 species
GGGUUGUGAGGUUAAGCGACUAAGCGUACACGGUGGAUGCCCUGGCAGUCAGAGGCGAUGAAGGACGUGCUAAUCUGCGAUAAGCGUCGGUAAGGUGAUAUGAACCGUUAUAACCGGCGAUUUCCGAAUGGGGAAACCCAGUGUGUUUCGACACACUAUCAUUAACUGAAUCCAUAGGUUAAUGAGGCGAACCGGGGGAACUGAAACAUCUAAGUACCCCGAGGAAAAGAAAUCAACCGAGAUUCCCCCAGUAGCGGCGAGCGAACGGGGAGCAGCCCAGAGCCUGAAUCAGUGUGUGUGUUAGUGGAAGCGUCUGGAAAGGCGCGCGAUACAGGGUGACAGCCCCGUACACAAAAAUGCACAUACUGUGAGCUCGAUGAGUAGGGCGGGACACGUGGUAUCCUGUCUGAAUAUGGGGGGACCAUCCUCCAAGGCUAAAUACUCCUGACUGACCGAUAGUGAACCAGUACCGUGAGGGAAAGGCGAAAAGAACCCCGGCGAGGGGAGUGAAAAAGAACCUGAAACCGUGUACGUACAAGCAGUGGGAGCACGCUUCGGCGUGUGACUGCGUACCUUUUGUAUAAUGGGUCAGCGACUUAUAUUCUGUAGCAAGGUUAACCGAAUAGGGGAGCCGAAGGGAAACCGAGUCUUAACUGGGCGUUAAGUUGCAGGGUAUAGACCCGAAACCCGGUGAUCUAGCCAUGGGCAGGUUGAAGGUUGGGUAACACUAACUGGAGGACCGAACCGACUAAUGUUGAAAAAUUAGCGGAUGACUUGUGGCUGGGGGUGAAAGGCCAAUCAAACCGGGAGAUAGCUGGUUCUCCCCGAAAGCUAUUUAGGUAGCGCCUCGUGAAUUCAUCUCCGGGGGUAGAGCACUGUUUCGGCAAGGGGGUCAUCCCGACUUACCAACCCGAUGCAAACUGCGAAUACCGGAGAAUGUUAUCACGGGAGACACACGGCGGGUGCUAACGUCCGUCGUGAAGAGGGAAACAACCCAGACCGCCAGCUAAGGUCCCAAAGUCAUGGUUAAGUGGGAAACGAUGUGGGAAGGCCCAGACAGCCAGGAUGUUGGCUUAGAAGCAGCCAUCAUUUAAAGAAAGCGUAAUAGCUCACUGGUCGAGUCGGCCUGCGCGGAAGAUGUAACGGGGCUAAACCAUGCACCGAAGCUGCGGCAGCGACACUAUGUGUUGUUGGGUAGGGGAGCGUUCUGUAAGCCUGUGAAGGUGUGCUGUGAGGCAUGCUGGAGGUAUCAGAAGUGCGAAUGCUGACAUAAGUAACGAUAAAGCGGGUGAAAAGCCCGCUCGCCGGAAGACCAAGGGUUCCUGUCCAACGUUAAUCGGGGCAGGGUGAGUCGACCCCUAAGGCGAGGCCGAAAGGCGUAGUCGAUGGGAAACAGGUUAAUAUUCCUGUACUUGGUGUUACUGCGAAGGGGGGACGGAGAAGGCUAUGUUGGCCGGGCGACGGUUGUCCCGGUUUAAGCGUGUAGGCUGGUUUUCCAGGCAAAUCCGGAAAAUCAAGGCUGAGGCGUGAUGACGAGGCACUACGGUGCUGAAGCAACAAAUGCCCUGCUUCCAGGAAAAGCCUCUAAGCAUCAGGUAACAUUAAAUCGUACCCCAAACCGACACAGGUGGUCAGGUAGAGAAUACCAAGGCGCUUGAGAGAACUCGGGUGA